CUGGGAACACCACGUGAUGUUGGCUU
rnacentral:piRNA from 1 species